rnacentral:rRNA from 1 species
GAUGAACGCUGGCGGCGUGCUUAACACAUGCAAGUCGAGCGAAGCACUUUUGCGGAUUUCUUCGGAUUGAAGCAACUGUGACUGAGCGGCGGACGGGUGAGUAACGCGUGGGUAACCUGCCUCAUACAGGGGGAUAACAGUUGGAAACGGCUGCUAAUACCGCAUAAGCGCACAGUACCGCAUGGUACCGUGUGAAAACUCCGGUGGUAUGAGAUGGACCCGCGUCUGAUUAGCUAGUUGGUGGGGUAACGGCCUACCAAGGCGACGAUCAGUAGCCGACCUGAGAGGGUGACCGGCCACAUUGGGACUGAGACACGGCCCAA